rnacentral:misc_RNA from 1 species
GACAUAUUCACGUAAGUGUUUAACAGUCAAACUUGGACGGCAGUGGAGAUGUGGCUUCUGCAAACUUGGAGUACUUUCUUUAUCUACUGAAAUAAGAAGGAGAUGGACAUCUAACUCAUUGUUAUUUUCUUCUAGGCCUCGCAAAUAAUUGACUAACUUCAUUAAGCGACUACUCCUAGAACUUUUAUUGCUGGACCCACCAGCACAACCAUGACGGGUGUUAC